rnacentral:rRNA from 1 species
CUAGAAAGCGUGUACUGGACGUGAUGCCUGCCCAGUGACCCUCGGUUCAACGGCCGCGGUAUCCUAACCGUGCGAAGGUAGCGCAAUCAAUUGUCCCAUAAAUCGGGACUUGUAUGAAUGGCUAAACGAGGCCUUAACUGUCUCUUACAGAUAGUCAGUGAAAUUGAUCUCCCUGUGCAAAAGCAGGGAUAAGCACAUAAGACGAGAAGACCCUGUGGAACUUAAAAAUCAGCAGCCACUACACACAAAUACACACCUACCAGGUUUACAACUAAAACUUAUGCUGGCCUGCAUUUUUCGGUUGGGGCGACCUUGGAGAAAAGAAAAACCUCCAAAAAUAAGAACACAUCCCUUAACCAAGAGCAACCUCUCAACGUACUAAUAGUAACCAGAUCCAAUAGAAAUUGAUCAAUGGACUAAGCUACCCCAGGGAUAACAGCGCAAUCUCUCCUAAGAGCCCCUAUCGACGGAGAGGUUUACGACCUCGAUGUUGGAUCAGGACAUCCUAAUGGUGCAGUCGCUAUUAAGGGUUCGUUUGUUCAACGAUUAACAGUCCUACGUGAUCUGAUUUCAGACCGGA